CCCCACCCACCCUGCAGGGAAAGACCCCCGACGCCACAGGGCCCCUCGGCCCUCCGGCCAAACCCGAUAAUCUCCCGCCUGAGGGUGGGGAACUCAACUCACCCCCGGGGUAAACUGGGGCGGUGCGGCAGCGUCCCUGAAGCUCUACAGGCCCCUUCCCCCUUUGCAAGAACCUGGCCCCUAGGGAAGCGCCCCGCCCCCACCCAUCCCCCUACCCCAGCCCAAACUGGGGGAGGAUGGUCCAGCCCAGAUCUCACAUGUCUUAAAGGGUAAAAUGUACGGUUAUUUUUCAUUCGUUUUGGGGGGCGGGGUUGCUCACCCCUCCCCGGUUAACUGCUAGCGACUGACAGGCGGGGGACGGCCGAGACAGACAAAGAGAAGCCGAAGACUCUGGGGUCUUCAGGAGAGGGUCGCACGAGCUGAGUCGGGGACAGACAGGUGGAGUUUCCAGAGCCUGCACCACCCGGGACACUGCUGGCAGCUCUCUAGGCCCUAGAGUCUGAGCUGACUCCGACUUUGGCUCACCGCUCUGCGGCCGGACGAUUGUAUGCCAUUCAAAAAGUCGGGAGUUGAAAGACAGCACGCAGCACCUUUGUCCCCCUCCCCGUUUUCCCGGCGCGCUGAAAAGAAAUGGGGCUGGGACUUAGGGGCGGGGGAGGGCUUCCAACUCGGUUUCUCUAUAUCCUCCACCACCUUAGAGCCCACCCUCCCCAAUGAGCGUUUUGUUCUACCCAGCCACGUGUUUGUCGGAUUUUUGUUUUUGUGAUUUUUUUUUCCCAUGGAACAACAAGAAUUAAAGUACUAGGAGCUAUUUGUUGUUGAGUAGAAAGAGAAUAUUUUCUGUCCAAGAAGGUGGGAGACAUCUGUGUCUCACCCCCACACACACACCUCCGACCCUCCCCCCUUAUCUGACUCUUAAUACUUAGCUGUUGGUCACAAGCAUUAUUUUUAAACAAACCAAUGAGUAGGAAACAGGCAUGCCACAUAGUAGGCACUCAAUAAACAUUUUUUUAAAUGAAAAACAAGCUAAUACAAACAGCACAGCAAAGAGAAUUGAUGAAAAUUAGAGUCCAGGGGGGAAAAAAUUAUCUUGGCCAGAACGUGUGGCUCUGUUGCCCGGGAACUUUUCUUGGUGAUGUGUGUAGACUUUUGAAAGGGCUAAAAGAUGGUCUCAAAAAGGCUGUUGUAUUUCUUGGCCUUUUCCUAAAGAGGAGCCCCAAUCUCCUUAAAUCUUUUCUGUUAUAUUGGGGAACAAGGAGGAGGGCAACUAGGCAGAUCAUCCCAGUUCCCAGAAACUUUAAGUGCUGUUUCUUUCAUUUAAUUUGAAUCUUUAGGUGCUAAUAAAAGCACUUCUCAGAUUGUCUCCCUGGGGGACAUAUCCACUACUCUGCCUCUGUAUGCCUAAAACAAAAGCAAGUUACACCCCAUAAAAAUCUCCAUCCAGACCUCUAAACUCCUAUAAAAUGCAGUCCACUUUUUACUAUCCUAGAGUCAAUGGGAAACAACAUUUUUAAAAAUAAUCAGUGAAUUCAGUUCACUUUCAGGUUGAUUUUUUUCCAUGUAAAAAUAUACUAACUAAAUGUUAGCUGAAAUCAGUUUUAAUGUAUUUAAGAUAACGUUAGAAGAGAAUAUAUAAAUUUCACUUGAACAAUCUGCUAUUUUUAAAUCCUUUUAAAUAUUUAAUUAAAAAUUACCAAUAAUUGCUAAAUUGAAACUGAUUAGUUCUUUUUAAAAAAUCAGCUGUUUUACUGAAUUCUAAUCCUCUCCACCCCCCAAAAAAAGGCUUAUGUGUGUAUAGUCAGAAGCUGCAAAGGCUGCAAGAAUACAAGAGAGGAGACAACAGGGGUGAGAUACAGAUCUUUUUAGCCCCCAAAUCAGUUUUGCCUUAGUGACCUGGCUAUUUUAGGCUGGGGUUGGGGGAACUAAAUCACAUUGAUUGGUGUUUCAUCUCUCCCUUUUGAAUGAGCCCAGCACUCACAUUAAGGGUUAUUUCUUAUCUAGACUGACAUUCCUAGGUUAGGGAUAAAAAUGGGCAGACUUGAGGUACCAUAACUUUUCAUCUUUCUUUUCUUUGUUUUUGUUAACAUUAAAGAUUACUAUCAAAU
rnacentral:lncRNA from 1 species